CAUGCUCAGGAUGAACGCUGGCGGCGUGCUUAACACAUGCAAGUCGAACGGUGAACACGGAGCUUGCUCUGUGGGAUCAGUGGCGAACGGGUGAGUAACACGUGAGCAACCUGCCCCUGACUCUGGGAUAAGCGCUGGAAACGGCGUCUAAUACUGGAUAUGUGACGUGACCGCAUGGUCUGCGUUUGGAAAGAUUUUUCGGUUGGGGAUGGGCUCGCGGCCUAUCAGCUUGUUGGUGAGGUAAUGGCUCACCAAGGCGUCGACGGGUAGCCGGCCUGAGAGGGUGACCGGCCACACUGGGACUGAGACACGGCCCAGACUCCUACGGGAGGCAGCAGUGGGGAAUAUUGCACAAUGGGCGCAAGCCUGAUGCAGCAACGCCGCGUGAGGGAUGACGGCCUUCGGGUUGUAAACCUCUUUUAGCAGGGAAGAAGCGAAAGUGACGGUACCUGCAGAAAAAGCGCCGGCUAACUACGUGCCAGCAGCCGCGGUAAUACGUAGGGCGCAAGCGUUAUCCGGAAUUAUUGGGCGUAAAGAGCUCGUAGGCGGUUUGUCGCGUCUGCUGUGAAAUCCCGAGGCUCAACCUCGGGCCUGCAGUGGGUACGGGCAGACUAGAGUGCGGUAGGGGAGAUUGGAAUUCCUGGUGUAGCGGUGGAAUGCGCAGAUAUCAGGAGGAACACCGAUGGCGAAGGCAGAUCUCUGGGCCGUAACUGACGCUGAGGAGCGAAAGGGUGGGGAGCAAACAGGCUUAGAUACCCUGGUAGUCCACCCCGUAAACGUUGGGAACUAGUUGUGGGGUCCAUUCCACGGAUUCCGUGACGCAGCUAACGCAUUAAGU
rnacentral:rRNA from 1 species